CGGCGGCGGACAGUGUUCUGUAAUGUGUCUCCCGUUGCCCGAGCUAAAGGUUUUCCUCGACGGAGUCUUUAGAAUACCGUGGUAGAGGCAGUCUCCACACCACUGUGCUCGAACAGCUCUAUGAAGAGGCCUAUGUGGAGAGGAGAAAAAGCCUCCACCAACAGCCAGCACCAACUUGCCAGCCAUAUAUGAACUCUCGCUAUGUUGCCUCGGCUGGUCUCAAACUCCUGGGCUCAAGUGAUCCUCCCACUUCGGCCUCCCAAAAUGGCGUCUUGCUCUGUCACCCAGGCUGGGGUGCAGUGGUGUGAUCUCAGCUCACUGCAACCUCUGCCUCCUGGGUUCAAGCAAUUCUUCUGCCUCAGCCUCCCAAAGAGCUGUGAUUACAGACGUGUGCCACAAUACCCGGCUAAGUUUUGUAUUUUUAUUAUUAUUUUAUUUAUGUGUUUAUUUAUUUAUUUAUUUAUUUAUUUUGAGAUGGAGUCUUGCUGUGUCGCCCAGGGUGGAGUGCAGUGGUGCGAUCUCUGCUCGCUGCAGCCUCUGCCCCCCAGGCGAUUCUCCUGCCUCAGCCUCCCGAGUAGCUGGGAUUACAGGUGCCCGCCACCAUACCCGGCUAAUUUUUGUAUUUUUAGUAAAGACAGGGUUUUGCCAUGUUGGCCAGGCUGAUCUCGAACUCCUGACCUCAAGUGAUCUGUCUGCCUUGGCCUCCCAAGGCAGGGAGCCUGCUGGGAUUACAGGCAUGAGCCACCACGCCCAGUCAAAAUGUUUUAAAUGUUUCUAUACCACCAUCUGUGUCAAAGAGCAAAUGGUCUCUCUGCAGCUGGAACAACAAAAACUCAAAUGGUCCACACAGUGGUUCAUACCUAUAAGUCACCAAACCUAAACUAAGUUGUUAUCUGACCUUCUGGAAAUGAGAAGAGAUAGAUAACUGCCAGUUUCCCAAACAGGCCAGUUUAAAUCUUCCUGUAAGCAUGAUAAGGAAGUUCCCUCUGAUUUAAUCCUUACACACGAAAAAGUAGCCUUAAAUAACCUGAUAUUAACUCAUCAGUUUUAUUUUUAUUUAUUUAUUUUUUUUUGAGACAAUGUCUUGCUCUGUCACCCAGGCUGGAGUGCAGUGGCACAAUCUCGGCUCACUGCAAUCUCCGCCUCCCGGGUUCACGCCAUUCUCCUGCCUCAGCCUCCCGAGUAGCUGGGACUACAGGUGCCUGCCACCACACCCGGCUAAUUUUUGUAUUCUUAGUAGAGAUGGGGUUUCACCGUGUUAGCCAGGAUGGUCUCGAUCUCCUGACCUUGUGAUCCACCCCCCUCGGCCUCCCAAAGUGCUGGGAUUACAGGUGUGAGCCACCGCGCCUGGCCACUCAUCAGUUAUUUUUCUAUCAUUUUGUCUUUCUGUCCCCACUUUACAAGAAAAGUGACUUUGAAAGGACUAAUAACAUUAUUCGUUUUUUGCUUCUGCUUUCUUCAGCCCUUCUCUGUCUGUAAAGCCAGCUUCUUUUGCACAGCUCACUGCAACACUUAUUUUUAUUUGUAUUUUUAUUUUUUGAGACAAUGUCUCACUCUGUCACCCGGGCUGGAGAGUGGAGAGUACUAAUGCAGUCUUGGCCCACUGCACCUUCACCCUCCUCAACUCAAGCAAUCUUCCUGCCUCAACUUCCCUGGCAGCCAGGACUACAGGCUUGCACCACUAUACCCAGCUAAUUUUUAAAAUUUUUUUUUUUGUAGAGACAGGGUCUUGCUAUGUGGGCCAGACUGGUCUCAAACUCCUGGCCUCAAGGGAUCCUUCUUCCUUGGCCUGCCAAAGUGCUGGGAUAGAAUAAGUGUGCCGGGGCCACCAUGCCCAGGCCACCACACCUGGCCCACUUAUUCUAUUUUAUGGAAUGAAGUGUUACCCAAUUCUGGCUUUUUUUGAGACAGGGUCGUGCACCGUUGCUCAGGCGGGAAUGCAGUGGCACGAUCUUGGAACACUCCAACCUCCACCUCCAAGGCUCAAGCCAUCUUCCCACCUCAGCCUCCCGAGUAGCUGGGGCCACAGGCGUGUGCCACCACAUCCAGCUAAUUUUUGUAUUUUUUGUAGAGAUGGGGUUUUGCCAUGUUGCCCAGGCUGGUUUGGUCUCAAACUCCUGGUCUCAAGCCAUCCACCCACCUUGGUCUCCCAAAGUGCUGGGAUUACAGAUGUGAACCAACAUGUCCAGCCUUUUUUUUUUUUUGAGACAAAUUCUGGCUCUGUCACCCAGACUGGAGUGCAGUGGUGCCAUCUUGGCUCACUGCAACCUCCACCUCCGAGGCUCAAGCAAUUCUCUCACCCCAGCCUCCUGAGUAGCUAGGACCACAGGUGCUCACCACCACGCCUGGUUAACUUUUGUGUUUUUUGUAGAGAUGGGGUUUUGCCAUGUUUCCUAUGCUGGUCUGGAACUCAUGAACUCAACAGAUUGUCCCACCUCAGCCUCUCAAAGUGCUGGGAUUACAGCUCAAAGCACCUGUCAUAAAAAUAUUAACUUGUAAUAAAAGUGUUUAGUAACACUAAUAUGUGAUGGCAAUUUCAGGAAAGUCAAUGUUCUGAGCAAGAAGAACAAGGAACAGAAGGUAUAAUGAUAACAGAUGAGAGAGGAAAAAGCAGACUCAAUCAACUCCUACUUUUCCAUCAUUUUUCCGUUACAGAGAAUUAUCCUCAAAUUAGAAGGAGUAGGACCUACAUGGUAAAGAAAAAAUUUACGUGCAAGGCAGAUGAGGAAGUAAGAGAGCAUCCAGCCCCUUCACACAACUUCAUUCUCUGUCUUACCGAAAGAAUGUGAAAUGUGGUGGUAGCUUUACUGGGGACAGGAGAGGUGCCAGAAGUUUGAAGAUGGACUAAUCUCCUUGUUUUCUAAAAGAAGAACCUAUAAGUCUCUGAGCACAUUUUUCUUUGGCAAAAUUCUGGAAUGGAUAAUUAGACAAAUGGUUUGUGAAUCUUUAGAAAAGUGGCAAAAACAAGGCACAGCAUAAAUUCACUAAAAAAUAAGUGGACCUAAACUAAGCAUUCUUUCUUCCUGAUAGGAAUCCUACUUUCCUUGGUCUGACACCUGCAGGGUCAAGUAUGGGCCUUGGAGUCAGCUGAGGCUGAAUUCCAAUUCCAGUUCCACCACUCCAAAAGUGACACUUGGACACCAAAUUCUCUGAGACCCUCCUGUAAUGCAAAUUUAGUGGAGCUACUUUGGGGUUAGCUCUCUCUCCCCCAGGGCCUUCCUUGAGACCAGUUUCACACAUGGUCUCAUUACAAAACAGUAACAACAAAAACCCCAAUUUUGGAGGCAUUAAUAAAUAAUGGGGAUUAUAUUAUACAUAACAAAGCAAAAUAUUCAUAAAAAUCAUCUUCUAUAACCUGGGUCUGGCUGGGUGCAGUGGCUUACACCUGUAUUCCCAGCACCUUGGGAGGUCAAAGUGGGCAGAUCGCUUGAGCCCAGGAGUUCCAGACCAGCCUGGGCGACAUAGGAAAACCCCAUCUCUACAAAAAAUACAACAAUUAGCCAGGAAUGAUGGUGGGUGCCUGUAGUCCCAGCACUAGGGAGGCUAAGGCAGGAGGAUCACUUGAGCCCAGGAGUUUAAGACCAGCCUGGUUAACAUAGGAAGGCCCCGUCUCUUCCAAAAAUACAAAAAUUAGACCAGGCACGGUGGUUCACACCUGUAAUCCCAGCAUUUUGGGAGGCCAAGGCAGGUGGAUCACCUGAGGUCAGGAGUUUGAGAGCAGCCUGGCCAACAAGGUGAAACCAUGUCUCUACUAAAAAUACUAAAAUUAACCAGGACUGGUGGCGGAUGUCUGUAAUCCCAGCUACUUGGGAGGCUGAGGCAGGAGAAUCCCUUGAACCCAGGAGGCAGAGGUUGCAGUGAGCCAAGGUUAUGCCAUUGCACUCCAGCCUAGGAAACAAGAGUGAAACUCUGUCUCGGAAAAAAAAAAAAAGCUAUGUAUGAUGGUGGGCACCCAUAGUCUCAGCUACCAGGGAGGCUGAGGUGGGAGGAUCACUUGAGCCCAGGAGGUCAAGGCUGCAGUGAGCCGUGAUUGCACCACUGUACUCCAGGCUUGGCAACAGAGCAAAAAAUAGAACCUGACUCCUUCCCUAAAAUUCUUCCCUUAGGAAUCUACAUCAUUUCCUUCACCUCUUAACUCCCUGAAAACAACAAAAACAAAACAAAACAAAAAAAAGCAGCUACUACUUUCUCUACAACUUCUCCAGGCAUACUUCUCUUUCUGCUUUCCCAGUGGUCAUUAAAAGAAAAGGCAGCCAACAAUAUUUGGAAAAACAAACGUGGUUAGCUAAAACUAGACCACACUCAUGUAGGCAUUACAGGUCCUCAAUCCUUCUCCCAUAAUAAAAAUUAAAACAAUAAUACUUAGAAAGUUUUUGAGGGGACUAAGUUAAAAGUAAUCUAUCAAGGCUAGGUGUGAUGGCUUACACCUAUAAUCCCACCACUUUGGGAGGACAAGGCCGUAGGACGGAUUGAGGCCAGGAGUUCAAGAGCAGCCUGAGCAACACACUAACACGCUGUCUCUACAAAAUAUAUAUCUAUAUCUAUAUAUAUCUAUAUAUAGAUAUAUACAGAUUUUUUUUUUGAGACAAUGCCUUGCUCUGUCAGCCAGGCUGGAGUGCGGUGGCACGAUCUUGGCUCACUGCACCCUCUGCCUCCCAGGUUCAAGCGAUUCUUGUGCCUCACCCUCCCAAGUAGCUGUGAUUACAGACAUGCACCACCACACCCAGCUAAUUUUUGUAUUUUUAGUAGAGAGGGGGCUUCACCAUGUUGGCCAGGCUGGCCUCAAACUCUGAUCCCAAGUGAUCCACCUGCCUCGGCCUCCCAAAGUGCUGGGAUUGCAGGCAAGAGCCACCAUGUCCAGCCUCUAUAAAAAAAUUUUAAAAAUUAGCUGGGUGUGGUGGCAUGCACUUGUAGUCAUAGCUACUUGGGAAGCUGAGGCGAGAGGAUUGCUUGAGCCUAGGAGGUUCAGGCUGCAAUGAGCCAUGACUGUGCCAUUGCACUCCAGCCUAGAUGAUAGAGCAAGCAAGACCCUGUCUCAAAAAAACCCCAAACACACACAAACACACACACACACUUAAAGCUUGAUCUGGCCACUCAAUAAAUGAUAGUUUUUAUUAUUCAUUACUGUUCUUACUACUGUGGUAGAUCAAGAAAAUGGUGUGGAACCUAUGUCCUUCUUAUUUAGAGGCAUUUGACAAAUCUUCAUGAAGAAGGAGGGCUGGAUGAUAGCACAGUUUAUUGGAAGCUGAGAUUAUGCAAAGGUUGAAAUAGAAAUUUCUAGCAAUUUGUCAAAGGCCUCUAUGACCCUUUACUGUUAAGCCUUUUUAUGAAUGACUUGGCAUGAACAAGCAUGGAGGAAGCAUGCUUGUCAAAUCUGCAGAUAAUACAAAACAGGGAGGGCUUGAUGGAUGAACGGCUGAAUGACAGAAUGCACAUUUCAGGAGAUCUAAAAAGGCUGAGCCAAGAAGGAAUUUAAAGCUGAGUAUGUGUGCUUGAAAAACAUAACUGCUGCAUAAAAACAGAAUGAUGAGACUUGGAUUUACUAGUAUUGCAAGUGAAAAAAUACUGGAACAUCUUGUUGACUACAAGCUCAAAAAUGAACCAUCUGUCGUUGUAUAAAAGCUAAAUAGCAAUUGCAACAAUGAUGGCCCUACACACAGAAUAUUUCCUUUUUUUUUUUCUUUUCUAAAAUAAUUUUUAAUUAAAAAGGAAAUAGAGAUGGGGUAUUCUUGUGUUGCCCAGGCUGGUCUUGAACUCCUGUGCUUAAGCAAUCCUUCCGUCUUGGCCUCCCCAAAGUGCUGGGAUUACACACAUGAAGCCACCAUGCCCAGCCUAUGUUCUUAUUUCCCUACAGCAUCAAGUAGUGGUGUCAUAGCCUGAAGAUCCCACGUUCUAGUUUUGGCUCUCCAGCAUUUACUAGCUGCAUGACCUUGGGCAUGUUGGUGAAAUUUUCUGAGUCUUAACCCUGAAAUUCAAAAGAGGUAGGGAGGAGAGUUUGGACUAAUUUAUUACUUUGUGUUUGUGUGUGUGUUUGUGUGUGAAUGAGACAGGGUCUCACUCUGUCACCCAGGCUGGAGUGCAGUGGUUCAAUCAUAACUCACUGCAGCCUUGAAUUCCUGGGCUCAAGCAAUCCUCCUGCCUCAGCCUUCUGAGUAGCUGGAACUAUAAGCAUGCACCACCAUGCCUGGCUAAUUUUUUUUUUUUUUUUUUUUUUUUGAGACAGAGUCUCUCUCUGUUGCCCAGGCUGGAGUGCAGUAGCACGGGCUCGGCUUGCUGCAACCUCCACCUCCCAGGUUCAAGCGAUCCUCCUGCCUCAGCCCCUCUAGUAGCUGGGAUUACAGGCACGCGCUGCAAUGCCCGGCUGAUUUUUGUAUUUUUAGUAGAGAUGGGGUUUCACCAUGUUGGCCAAGCUGGUCUCGAACUCCUGACCUCAGGUGAUCCACCCUCUUCAGCCUCCAAAGUGCUGGGAUUACAGGCGUGAGCCACCAUGCCCAGCCAUGCCUGGCUAAUUUUUUUUUUAAUUAUACUUUAAAUUCUGGGAUACACGUGGAGAACAUGCGGGUUUGUUACAUAGGUAUAGACAUGCCUUGGUGGUUUGCUGCACCUAUCAACCUGUCAUCUACAUUAGGUAUUUCUCCUAAUGCUAUCCUUCCCCUUGCUCCCCAUCCCCUGACAGGCCCUGGUGUGUGAUGUUCCCCUCCCUGUGUCCAUGUAAUCUCAUUGUUCAACUCCCACUUAUGAGUGCAAACAUGUGGUGUUUGGUUUUCUGUUCCUGUGCUAGUUUGCUGAGAAUGGUGGUUUCCAGCUUCAUCC
rnacentral:lncRNA from 1 species